CCAUCGGGGUACUCGAGCGGCGAACGGGUGAGUAACACGUGAGUAAUCUGCCCCAGGCUCUGGGAUAGCCACCGGAAACGGUGAUUAAUACCGGAUACGACAACCGAUUGCAUGAUCUGGUUGUGGAAAGUUUUUCGGCCUGGGAUGUGCUCGCGGCCUAUCAGCUUGUUGGUGAGGUAAUGGCUCACCAAGGCUUCGACGGGUAGCCGGCCUGAGAGGGUGACCGGCCACACUGGGACUGAGACACGGCCCAGACUCCUACGGGAGGCAGCAGUGGGGAAUAUUGGACAAUGGGCGGAAGCCUGAUCCAGCAACGCCGCGUGAGGGAUGACGGCCUUCGGGUUGUAAACCUCUUUCAGCACAGACGAAGCGAAAGUGACGGUAUGUGCAGAAGAAGGACCGGCCAACUACGUGCCAGCAGCCGCGGUAAUACGUAGGGUCCGAGCGUUGUCCGGAAUUAUUGGGCGUAAAGGGCUCGUAGGCGGUCUGUCGCGUCGGGAGUGAAAACCAGGUGCUUAACACCUGGCCUGCUUUCGAUACGGGCAGACUAGAGGUACUCAGGGGAGAAUGGAAUUCCUGGUGUAGCGGUGAAAUGCGCAGAUAUCAGGAGGAACACCGGUGGCGAAGGCGGUUCUCUGGGAGUAUCCUGACGCUGAGGAGCGAAAGUGUGGGGAGCGAACAGGAUUAGAUACCCUGGUAGUCCACACCGUAAACGUUGGGCGCUAGGUGUGGGACACAUUCCACGUGUUCCGUGCCGCAGCUACGCAUUAAGCG
rnacentral:rRNA from 1 species